CCCUUAGAUGUCCUGGGCCGCACGCGCGUUACACUGAUGCAUUCAACGAGCUUAUAACCUUGGCCGAGAGGCCCGGGCAAUCUUGUUAACGUGCAUCGUGAUAGGGAUAGAUUAUUGAAAUUAUUAAUCUUGAACGAGGAAUUCCUAGUAAACGCAGAUCAUCAAUCUGCAUUGAUUACGUCCCUGCCCUUUGUACACACCGCCCGUCGCUCCUACCGAUUGAAUGCUCAGGUGAGCCAUUCGGACUUUCAUCAUGCUGGUUUCCAGUUUUGAUGAAGGAAAGUCUUGCGAACCUUAUCAUUUAGAGGAAGGAGAAGUCGUAACA
rnacentral:rRNA from 1 species